GGGGCGGCCGCGGCGGGCGGGACCGCGCUGUGGCAGUGGGGGGCGGCCCUGGCUGCUGGCCCGGCGGGCAGGUGCCCCUUCCUGCGUCAUGUCGCUGCGAGGUUCCUGCUGCAAGACGGGCUCUGGCUGCUGGCAGCCCCUGUUGCUUCUCUGGGGCGUGAGGAUGUGGCUGCAGCCAAGGCAUGACCCCUGUGCAUGGAGAGGAAAAGGAGGAAGGCCUGAGCGAAGCUGCAGGUGUGCCCUGUGCCCACACAGAAGAGACAGAAGUUGAAGGUGAAAAAGAUUUUCCCUCUUGACAAAUCAAGGGUAAGUGGAUUUGAGCUUAACACAAAGGUUAUCAAAGUCUGAUGCUUUAAAAAAAAUCACUAGUGAUUCAGG
rnacentral:lncRNA from 1 species